AGACGGCGACCGCGGGGUGCUGCAGGCUUCGGCGCGGCGCGGGAUGGGGCUGUGCCGAACCCCCUGGGCCGCCCUGGGAUCGCGGGCGGCCCACGUGAGGUCGGGGUCGGGGCGGCUGUACAGUGCCCAGCACAGGCCCCUGGUCUCCCUUGUGGGUCUUUGCACAGGUCCGCUUACUCUCGGAAAUCUUGGGUUCCCCAGGGCCGGGGAAGGGUCUUCUGCCUGGUCUGGGGCCCCUCCCCCGACACUGUGGAUGUCUAGGUGUCCCGGGUGGGGUCAAGGGGUGACCCCACGGGUUCCCCCAUCUUUGUCCCUAUCCAGCUCACACCUUCGCCUGUCUUUUGCAUGUGUUUUUUCCACAACCUUUUGCUCACCGGGUUUUUAACAACAGAAAUAAACCUAACCCCCA
rnacentral:lncRNA from 1 species